UGCCCCAUGGCUGAGUUGGUUACAGCGUCCGACUGUUACAAUAUAUCGGCAAUCGGAAGGUCGUGAGUUCGAGCCUCACUGGGGCAG
rnacentral:tRNA from 1 species